UUUAAAUUAAAUAAAUAAUUGUAAGUACAUAUCUUGUACAAAUUAAAUUUAUAAAAAUUAAACAUUUAACACAUUUAUGUUAAUUAAACAUAAUUAUAUGUGAAAUAAUUUUAAAAAUAAUAAGAAAUUAUUAUGUCAUAAGAAAUUUUUAAAACUAUGCCCGUAACUAUAAAAACCAUUCGUUUUGGUUGGUGAGAGGUUAACUGAAUAAAAGGAAUUCAGAUUUCCCUACAGGCUUGCAAGAUUCGUGAUUUCAUUAUGAUAUUAUAUUCGUCAGUUUAUCAAGAAACUGAACAUUAACAAAGCAAAACACGGUGCAUUUAAAAACAGAUACACUGAAUCAAAUAAAAAAAAUGAGUUUGAAGAAGAUUGAGAAAAAAUAAUAUCAUAAAGUGGAUAGUGAAUGGACUUUUGGCAAGGUUUAUUUUUUAAACGAAAAAUGUGCAACCAUAAUUCAUAAUUCCAUUUCUAUUACUACACACCUCCUUUUUACUCUCAAGAGACCAUCAAUGAUGAAUAUUUUAAGCAAAUCUAAAAUCCAAUUUUAUCAACG